rnacentral:misc_RNA from 1 species
GCAAAAAGUCCUAUUAUUCCCAAGAUUAUUGGAUGUUCCUGCAAAAGGAAAGGAAUGAGAAUCUUCUAUCCCUUGAUGGAAUUGAAGGAGAAUCAGUUUAUUGUUUUUAUCUAUGCAUACUGUACAAAAGGACAACAACUUCAAGUCCCUGACCCAGCAUUAAAGGUGAUUCUAUAGGAUGUUACAGCAGUAAUUUUUCUUCCUCUAAUUGCCAAGGCAACCAUUAUGAUUUACGAGGCUGUCUUCCUAUUUAUGAUUAUGAUGUCUAUUUUAAUA